CUCUCUCUCUCUCUCUCUCUCUCUCUCUCUCUCUCAAUCCGAAGAAACCCUAGCCUCCCUCCCUCACUGCCGAUCGAAGAAGAUAGCCUCCCUUUCCUUCCUCACUGCCAAUCGAAGAAACCCCGUCAUCCCGUGACCCAUCAUCGUCGUCGCCGACUCGCUGUCAUCCUCGUGACCUCAAGAUGAAGUUAUAAAAGGAUGGGAUGAAGGGGUCGCGACCAUGAAGAAGGGUGAGAGAGCAAUCUUCACAAUACCACCAAACUUAGCCUAUGGGGAACUCGGCUCUCCACCCCUGAUUUCUCCCAAUUCAAUUCUCAUUUUUGAUAUUGAAAUGUUGUCUUGACCACUAUCAGAGACAUAACUGGUGAUCAAGUGCUAGGUAAUAUUGACAGUGUUAGGAGAGUUUUUCUUUUGUUAAACAUGAAAAACAGAAACUAAAAUACAGUAAUGCAUCAUUGAAGUUGUUUUGAUAAGAACAAACUACAAUCUUGCUAAGCUUUGCUAUUAA